CAGCAUUUCUACACGUCUGAUUUUAUUAAAUUGUCACAAAGACAACACAUGCAGGCAGUCUACCAAUAUCCCUGUUUUUUCUUUUUUUUCUUUUUUUUUGUUGUUUAAUUAAUAAAUGGUAACAAAUCAACAUUUCCAAAUGUUCUGAACCAUCACACUGAGCCUCUGACAGAAACAAACAAAGCUUUAACUUUAAAUGACUUCUCAACACUCAACCCACAACCAUGCAGACUUUCCACUUCACUGAGAUGUUUUAAAGUGUUUUUUUUUUUUUAAAUCUUUAACUCUAUAGUUUUGAUAAUAACUUACUAAGUAGUUGAUGCAGUUACUGCUUCUUUCAGACCAAUCAGAGCUCUCAGCUUGGCCUUGAGUUAGCUGUUUGAUUUUAUCUCUUGUUGUGUUUUUGCAUUUGUGUCAGAAGAAACCCUUUGACCACACCGGGCCAUCAUAGUGCCUAUCAGCCUAUUGGUGUUGAAAUCUAUAUAAAUGGGUCUGGUCCCCCCUCCUUUGUUAAAAAAUGAUCACCUGAAGAAGACAUCAGGGAGGAAUGUUGUGAUUUUGAUGGAAUAAAAUCAAAAUCUGUGAAGUCAUUUAAAUAUGAAAUAUUAACUUUGCCCACCUCUGGUUCCUGUUCAUCAGAUUGUACAGGUUCUUCUGAUCUGGACUUGGUCAUGUUGGCUCUGCGUGUGGCUGAACUCCUCCUGAUUACUGUGAUCACUGUUCUUCUCUUCAGAGCUCGAGGGAACCAGAGACCACCUGAUGACAUCACUGUGAGCUGGAAAUAAAGCCUCAUAUGAACUGUCUUCAUAUAGAGAAGGAACAUUUCUUACCUCCAUUUUAACUCUUAUGUUUUUGUAUUUUCACAGGUGCUUGAUGAUGGAGAUGAAGGCUCAGUGAACUAUGAAAAUGAUGGAGAACCUUCUGCUUCUGUCAGACUCCACUGAUCAACAACUUCCACACAAACAUCCACUCAGCAGAUACAUUAAUCCACCGCUUUCAAUCAUUUCUAUAUCAUACUUUUGAGCAUAAAAACAUGGAUCCGCAUUUAAUUUGAGGUACUAAGUGAGGAUUUAAUAAAUGUACUGAAAUAUGAAGUUGAUAUUUGUUACGGCGUCCUUAACCAAAAUUAUUAAACCAAGGCUCAAAACUCAGAGACCGAAAACAUACAAGGACGCCACAAAGAUUUAAAGUUCAACCCGAGCUUUAUUUAAUGUAAAUACCACUCUCCCCCCAAAGUAAUCAAAGAUAAAUAAUAAACCAAAGAAACAAAAGGGGCUGGAGACCCCGACAAAAAAAAAAACAAAAGAAAGAUGGGAAGAUGCUGAGCCAACCACGUAAUGUGUCGUCAUUAUGGCACCUCCCCCUAAAACUACCUAAGAAGAAAAGAUUAAACUAAAGAAACCAAAAGACCCAAAAUAGGACUAACAGUGAUCUCCAGUCCAAACUCAAAUAAUAAAACCAAACAAUGUUAACAUAUGUGGGGAAAACCAGUAAAACUGGGAAACAAAAGCUCCUCACCACAUCACUGCCCAGAGUGUGUGCGCCCCUAACUCUCCUACCUGGCUCCUCUAAAUACCCCUCCUCCUCCUCCUCCUCCCCCUCCUCCUCCUCCUCCUCCUCCUCCUCCUCCUCCUCUUCCUCCUCCUCCUCCUCACUGAGCACAGAUUGUACUCAGGUGAGCAGCAGGUGAAGGAGGAGGGAUAAUCAGGGAGAGAGAGAGAGAGAGUAGGUGUGUAGCAGGUAGAGAUAAAGAGAGAGAGAGAUCAUCACUUGGGGGAAUCUUCAGUUUUUGCCAACAUGGAAGAUAAUAAUUUUGUAGAAAGCUUCAUUUGUAUAAAGUUCUUCAUAUUUUUGAGUGCCUUUAAAUGUCAGUAUAACCAAAUUUUAAUCACUAUGUCAAAUUAACUUUCAUGUCUUAUUGUUGCUUCAAUAUAUUUGAUUGAAUGUGUAUAUUUUACUUAAAGGAGAUCUAUUAUCCUCACUUUCACCAUUAAUCAUGUCAGUCUGGGACACCUAUUGAGUAGUGUUGUGAGAUGUGUAACUCAUAAACUUUCUUAUUUUUCUCAUACUGUCAUCAUUGAAAUCCCAAAUUUCAGCCUCUGCCUGAAAUGGUUCAUUUCAGCGUCUGUCUCUUUAAGACCCCCCCCCCCCCCCCCCCACCUGCCCACUUUACUCUGAUUGGCCAGCAUUUCAGAAGCUUCCUGCUUCUGAAAUAAUCAACCAAUGAGCUUCCGGUUGGGCGUGUCCUUGAAAGAGCUGGUGGUCAUUUCCUGCAACUUUACCCCAUGUUUUGUUCUGAUGCAUCAGUGGCUAACUUUCACGACUUUUCCUUUAACGUCUCGUUCAGAGCAGCAGGAAACCACGUCCGGGGAUUACACCAACAUCUGUGUAUAAUGUGUUUAAAAAAAUGUUGCAGAGGUUAUUAUGGUAUUAUGCUCAUUAUAUGUAUGUUUUUAAAUAUGGAUCAGUAUAAUAGAUCUCUUUUAUUAUUUUUCAGUCUUCAGUCUGUAAUAAUCAUGUCUUUAUUAAAUCAUAUUAAAUCUGCAUAUAAAUAAACAUUUACCACUUAA